UACGUAGGGGGCGAGCGUUGUCCGGAUUUAUUGAGCGUAAAGAGCGUGUAGGCGGCCAGGUAGGUCUGCUGUGAAAACUCGAGGCUCAACCUCGAGACGUCGGCGGAAACCAUCUGGCUAGAGUCCGGAAGAGGAGAGUGGAAUUCCUGGUGUAGCGGUGAAAUGCGCAGAUAUCAGGAAGAACACCCGUGGCGAAGGCGGCUCUCUGGGACGGUACUGACGCUGAGACGCGAAAGCGUGGGGAGCGAACAGG
rnacentral:rRNA from 1 species